AUGGGAAUAAAUAAUUACCUUUCUGUUCGACCGUAGUCCAAGCCACAAGCUAGCAGGCAGAGAACCCAAAACAAUAAUUACAACAACAGUCAACUAUAUAUACUUCUCUCUAAUUCUAUCAGGUUCUGCGGCGCUAUGAAAAGACCAACUCAUUCUGCUUGUCAGACAGAGGGCAGCGUUGCUAAAACUGAGCAGCUAUUCCCACGGUCUCUCUCUCUGUCGCUCCCGCUUCGUCUCUUCCAUCUGCUGAAGAUCUAAUGCUUGAUUAGAGUUGACAGCGGAGAAACAAAAGGAAGGGGACGCUAACAGAAGGAGGCACAACAAUUAGCACACAAGCAAGGCCCGCGCUGCGGACGAGGAAGAAUGAGCAAGACAAACGGCCCGGUGAGAAAGGCUCGAAGGAGAUUAAGCAAAGGGAGGAAACGGGGGUCAGCGAAGGAAAGGAGGGGUGCUGAAAGGAGGACAAUGACGCAAGAAGCUCAAGGAAGGAAAGAGAAAAGGAUGAGUGAAAUCUAAGGCGGAUGGACGGACGAACGUGCUGACCUGUAGGCCCGUACGCAAAAGAAAAAUAAUUGCAAGCGAAGAAAAAGGAUGGCCCUGCGAGGGAAAAAAAUGUGCUGUUGCACAGGGAGUUUGGGCGUGCUCUGUGGCAGGAGGCAAAAUAGAUGACAGUGUAAUGAUAUUAAAAGCGCAAAGUUGUUAAGAUGCCAAGUCAAGGCCCCAUAAAUCCAGCCAGGGCUCCCACUGCCUGUCCCCACACCGCGUAAUUAAAUCUGAUUUAUGAGGCGUAUUACAGCAGUGAGAGAUAGUUCAUAUUCCAGCUCUGCUUUAUUAGACAGCCUGACAGGCGCCAAAAAAUAUUGUCGAAGUUGCCUCGGCCCGAGCCGCCAAAAAGCCUUGCUCCGCACUCUGUCUUUUGUUGUGUCAGUCCUCCCUUCCCGUGAUGGAUUAGGCACUCUUUCUCACUCUCUCUUUCAUUGGCUCUCCAUCUCCUCCCUCAGUCAGAAUGUGGAGGAACAGCCCCCUGUGACACGGCCAGACAGCUUCAUCUUCAUCAGGAGCCCCAACCAACGCCUCCACGCAACCCCCGCCCGCCGCCUGCGCAGGAGAAGAGGAGGGCACAGGUGUGGAAGAACAGAGAGAGAGAGCUUUCUGUUGUUGCAAACCCAGAUAUCAAAGCUGACUGUUUUCACUGCUGAUUAUUUCGCUUGAACUUUUUUUUCCGCUGACAAACAUUCUUUUGUCUUGAAGUUGAUUCUUUAAAAGGUUCUAGAAAUCUCAAGAACUUACAAUACAAUAUUUACUUAUAAAGCACAUUUAAAAACAACCAAAGUUGACCAAAGUGCUGUACAGAGUACUAAAGGCAGGGAAGAAAGCAGAAUAUGUCGUAGUUACUGCCUUUUCAUUAAUCAACGACGAAUCAGACUUGAGAUUUUAAAUACCAAAAGAUAGACUUUAAUUAACACAAUAAAGCAGAUAAAGUGCAGAGCAGACCUCAGAGCAAUC